rnacentral:rRNA from 1 species
UACGUAGGGUGCAAGCGUUGUCCGGAAUUAUUGGGCGUAAAGAGCUCGUAGGCGGUCUGUCGCGUCGGCUGUGAAAACCCGAGGCUCAACCUCGGGCCUGCAGUCGAUACGGGCAAACUAGAGUACUGCAGGGGAGACUGGAAUUCCUGGUGUAGCGGUGAAACGCGCAGAUAUCAGGAGGAACACCGGUGGCGAAGGCGGGUCUCUGGGCAGUAACUGACGCUGAGGAGCGAAAGCGUGGGGAGCGAACAGG